CCUACGGGGGGCAGCAGUGGGGAAUAUUGGGCAAUGGAGGAAACUCUGACCCAGCAAUGCCGCGUGAAUGAAGAAGGUCUUCGGAUUGUAAAGUUCUUUAGUCAGGGAAGAAUAAAAUGACGGUACCUGAAGAAUAAGCUCCGGCUAACUACGUGCCAGCAGCCGCGGUAAUACGGAGGAUGCGAGCGUUAUCCGGAUUUAUUGGGUUUAAAGGGUGCGUAGGCGGUCCGUUAAGUCAGCGGUAAAAUUGCGGGGCUCAACCCCGUCGAGCCGUUGAAACUGGCAGACUUGAGUUGGCGAGAAGUACGCGGAAUGCGCGGUGUAGCGGUGAAAUGCAUAGAUAUCGCGCAGAACUCCGAUUGCGAAGGCAGCGUACCGGCGCCAGACUGACGCUGAGGCACGAAAGCGUGGGGAUCGAACAGGAUUAGAUACCCCUGUAGUC
rnacentral:rRNA from 1 species